GCUCAGGAUGAACGCUGGCGGCGUGCUUAACACAUGCAAGUCGAACGGGAAAUAUUUCAUUGAGACUUCGGUGGAUUUGAUCUAUUUCUAGUGGCGGACGGGUGAGUAACGCGUGGGUAACCUGCCUUAUACAGGGGGAUAACAGUCAGAAAUGGCUGCUAAUACCGCAUAAGCGCACAGAGCUGCAUGGCUCAGUGUGAAAAACUCCGGUGGUAUAAGAUGGACCCGCGUUGGAUUAGCUUGUUGGUGGGGUAACGGCCCACCAAGGCGACGAUCCAUAGCCGGCCUGAGAGGGUGAACGGCCACAUUGGGACUGAGACACGGCCCAGACUCCUACGGGAGGCAGCAGUA
rnacentral:rRNA from 1 species